rnacentral:tRNA from 2 species
GGGUGGUUCAAGUCCCUCUAUCCCCA